rnacentral:rRNA from 1 species
CGGCCGCGUCGACGAACGCUGGCGGCGUGCUUAACACAUGCAAGUCGAACGAAGCACCUCUUGAUUUCUUCGGAAGAAGGAGUGACUGAGUCGGCGGACGGGUGAGUAACGCGUGGGUAACCUGCCCCAUACAGGGGGAUAACAGCUGGAAACGGCUGCUAAUACCGCAUAAGCGCACAGUGCUGCAUGGCACCGGUGUGAAAAACUGAGGUGGUAUGGGAUGGGCCCGCGUCUGAUUAGGUAGUUGGCGCGGUAACGGCGCACCAAGCCCGCGAUCAGUAGCCGACCUGAGAGGGUGACCGGCCACAUUGGGACUGAUCAUCCUCUCAGACCAGUUACGGAUCGCAGCCUUGGUGAGCCAUUACCUCACCAACUAGCCUAAUCCGACCUACGGCUCAUCUGAUAGCGUCAAGGCCCGAAGGUCCCCCUGCUUUCUCCCGUAGGACGUAUGCGGUAUUACGCGUUUCCUUUCGAAACGUUUCGUCCCCCACUACCAGGGCUAGACUUUCCUAGGCAUUACCUCACCCGUCGCCGUCUGAAUUCCGG